AUACGGAAGGGGCAAGCGUUGUUCGGAAUCAUUGGGCGUAAAGGGCGCGUAGGCGGUUUCAUAUGUCCGCUGUGAAAAAACACGGCUCAACCGUGUUCUGUCGGUGGAAACUGUGAGACUUGAGGCUGGGAGGGGCCGGUGGAAUUCCCCAUGUAGCGGUGAAAUGCGUAGAGAUGGGGGAGAACACUCGUGGCGAAGGCGGCCGGCUGGACCAGUUCUGACGCUGAGGCGCGAAAGCGUGGGGAGCAAACAGGAUUAGAAACCCCAGUAGUCC
rnacentral:rRNA from 1 species